AUUGAACGCUGGCGGCAGGCCUAACACAUGCAAGUCGAGCGGCAGCGACUUAACUGAACCUUCGGGGAACGUUAAGGCGGCGAGCGGCGGACGGGUGAGUAAUGCCUGGGAAUAUGCCCUGAUGUGGGGGAUAACUAUUGGAAACGAUAGCUAAUACCGCAUAAUCUCUUCGGAGCAAAGAGGGGGACCUUCGGGCCUCUCGCGUCAGGAUUAGCCCAGGUGGAUUAGCUUGUUGGUGAGGUAAUGGCUCACCAAGGCAACGAUCCCUAGCUGGUCUGAGAGGAUGAUCAGCCACACUGAACUGAGACACGGUCCAGACUCUACGGGAGCAGCAGUGGGAAUAUUGCACAUGGGGAACCUGAUGCAGCCAUGCCGC
rnacentral:rRNA from 1 species